AGAGUUGAUUCUGGCUCAGAACGAACGCUGGUGGCGUGUCUUAUACAUGCAAGUCGAGCGAGGCAGCAAUGCCGAGCGGCGAACGGGUGAGUAACGCGUAAGCAAUCUGCCCCAUAUCAGGAAAUACCCGUGCCAACGCGCGGUUAAUGUCCAGGAGAGUGGCCCUCUGCAUGGAGGGUUGACUAGAGAUUUAUCGGUAUGGGAUGAGCUUGCGUCCGAUUAGCUAGUUGGCGGGGCAACGGCCCACCAAGGCGACGAUCGGUAGCCGGCCUGAGAGGGUGAUCGGCCACAUUGGGACUGAGAUACGGCCCAGACUCCUACGGGAGGCAGCAGUAGGGAAUAUUGCACAAUGGGGGAAACCCUGAUGCAGCAACGCCAACCGUGUGGGAAGAAGCAUUUCGGUGUGUAAACCACUGUCAUGAGGGAAUAAGGCCCGCCUUCGGACGGGAUUGAAUGUACCUUGAGAGGAAGCACCGGCAAACUUCGUGCCAGCCGCCGC
rnacentral:rRNA from 1 species